UAGUCCACGCUGUAAACGAUGAGUGUUAGGUGUCGGAAUCUUCGGAUUUCGGUGUCGUAGCUAACGCAUUAAACACUCCGCCUGGGGAGUAAGAUCGCAAGAUUAAAACUCAAAGGAAUUGACGGGGACCUGCACAAGUGGUGGAACAUGCGGUUUAAUUCGAUGCUACGCGAAAAACCUUACCAACUCUUGACAUGGUGGUCGCAAGAUGCAGAAAUGUAUCUUUUCAGUUCGGCUGGACCACACACAGGUGUUGCAUGGCCGUCGUCAGCUCGUGUUGUGAGAUGUUAGGUUAAGUCCUGCAACGAGCGCAACCCCUAUUCUUAUUUGCCAGCGGAUUAUGCCGGGAACUAUAAGGAAACUGCCAGCGAUAAGCUGGAGGAAGGGUGGGGGA
rnacentral:rRNA from 1 species